UACUAUUUUUCGAGUAUAAUAACAGUCCGUGCGUUUGAAGCGUUCUGGCGCCAUUAAUUAGGAGCCACUAGCCAACUACCCAGAGUCCCAGACCCAGUGGCGCUAGUAUACUACCGGCGAGACGGCUACUCACCUACCCCUUCUCGAUCACAUGCUGGCUGCCCCGCGCCAUGGAGAGCUAGCUAGCUUGCCCGGCCUCGCAACCGCCAACCGCUGUAUAUAUAACCGGCGUGGUUGUUGCGUGUCCUCCGUGAGAGAGAAGAAGAGUCGGGCGCCACAGUACUCCACCAGACGCGACAUCUGCUGAGAGCAACGAUGAAGAAGCACAGCAUCCAAGUGCCGUCGCCGCGGCCGUACGUCGUCCUCGACGCCGGCGAGGACCGGGACCGGGAGCGCGGCUUCGCCGUGCGCGCGCCCCUCCUGCGCCAGGUACGCACGCAC
rnacentral:lncRNA from 1 species